AUUGAAAUGUCGUGGAGCGAUAUUGGUCUGGCCGGGCAUAAGUGCUGUCCUCUGAUGCAUGUCUGCCUUCGAGGUUCCUGAAGCUUCCUGUCUGCUCCCGAGGAAGCAGCUCUCAUUUGCAUUGACUUCCCACAACUUCCUCCAGGUUCCUCUGUUGGUUAGAAAUAGAAGUGACAGCCAGAGAUCAGGAAAGAACUCUGACGAGCAAGCCCAUCGUUUCCUCUGAGACAAAGAUACGAUCAGGCCGAGCAAACCCCGUGUUAACAAAAACAAAUGUGAACAUGAAACAUCUUGAUGUAAAACUUAUGCUCUCCAGGUACUACUUGGGUUGGGUUUUGCUGUUUCAUUAGCUGUGCUACUUUUAACGUUAAGCUGAUAUUGCGAUAAUCCUCCUUAAAUAGCAUCCUGGAGGCGUGCAGAAUCCACAGGAAUGCUGAAGGUAUAGUGCUGUCACACAUCUAUUUAUGCAUUUAGGAUGUUCAUGCAAUGAGUUAUUUAUGGAAAGCUAGUGGAUUUGUGAACAAAGAAAGUUCUAAUUAAAUUUUCACUCUCUACGGUGGUGCUAUAGCUGAUGGUCAAUGGACACUCCUAUUUUUAAUCACAUCUAUUCUUACCAAGCUUUUGUUACUUUUAUUUGCAUUUAACUGAACCUGGGCACUUGACAGCCUCUGACUUAAUAAAACAGAUUUGGAAAAAAGACUUAAAUCCAUUUCUCUCUCCCUCUUUUUAAGUUCUAG
rnacentral:lncRNA from 1 species